UACGUAGGGGGCAAGCGUUGUCCGGAAUCAUUGGGCGUAAAGAGCGUGUAGGCGGCCAGAUAAGUCCGCUGUGAAAUCUCGAGGCUCAACUUCGAGCUGUCGGUGGAAACUGUCUGGCUAGAGUCCGGAAGAGGAGAGUGGAAUUCCUGGUGUAGCGGUGAAAUGCGCAGAUAUCAGGAGGAACACCGAUGGCGAAGGCAGGUCUCUGGGCAUUAACUGACGCUGAGGAGCGAAAGCAUGGGGAGCGAACAGG
rnacentral:rRNA from 1 species